UACAGAGGUUUCAAGCGUUGUUCGGAUUUAUUGGGCGUAAAGGGUGCGUAGGCGGCGCGGCAAGUCGGGUGUGAAAUCUUGGAGCUUAACUCCGAAACUGCAUUCGAUACUGCCGUGCUUGAGGACUGGAGAGGAGACUGGAAUUUACGGUGUAGCGGUGAAAUGCGUAGAUAUCGUAAGGAAGACCAGUGGCGAAGGCGGGUCUCUGGACAGUUCCUGACGCUGAGGCACGAAGGCCAGGGGAGCAAACGGG
rnacentral:rRNA from 1 species